CAGCUGUUCAUCAUCUGGAAUUUAUAACCUUGAAUUGAAAGUCUUUUCUUCUGGUUCUGUCUGUGACCUCUGUAUUCUGAAAGUAGGAGAGUCUUUUUAAUUUUAACUGAAUUUGUUAAUUUAGUACCUAAUACAAUGUCUUUAAGAUUAGGAAAAAGACACGUAGAACUAGCCAAAUAUUGGCUACCAUCAGCGGGCACUUUUGGAGCAUCUGCUUUCCUCACUCUAAUAUACUUCACUGACUGGAAAGUAACCAACCAAUACAUCCCAUUCUACAACACCAAGUUCAAGGAUUGAAUUUUAUAUAUAUUAUCACACUUCUCAGCAUAAACUAGAUUACUGCGCGUCUGUCCUAUUCAACAUUCUGUAUCCUGUUAACUAUAUUAUACCUUCGAAUAAUUUCUGUAAUUAAGUGUUCAAACUAUCAAUGAAGUAGAAUAAAUUUGUUCCAUGUAA